rnacentral:tRNA from 1 species
GCCUUCGUGGUGUAAUGGCUAGCACAUUCGGCGCGUAUUCGAGAGAUCCGAGGUUCGAGUCCCGGCGAGGACA